UCGAGUGGUUGUCAAAAGUUUUCCUAUUUUUUCAUGAAAAUUACCGAUGAAUUCAUAAGUAAAUUCAAGUUCGUUUCUGUGCAAAUUGAUUGUGAUGUGAUUUAUUCCGUAUGUGUGCUGGAUUAAAUUCAAAAUUCCGCAAUCUAACCUGUAGGAAGGAACAGGAAAGGAAGCAGUAGCAUAUCAUGCAGUUAAUACAGGUCACUACCCCAGUGUGGACAUGUUUGUUUUUCUGAACAUGUUUUUCAACGAAUAAUUCAUUGAUGUACAAGGAAAGCUAUGAGAAAUAUCAUAUCAUCUAGGCCAUGGGUAAUCUUCAGGUCUAUUUCUAUUGCAGCAGCUUAAGAGAAGAAUAUGAACAAAUGCAGGACACAUACCAACAUGUGUUGUAUUUUUCUGAAUGUUAAAGACGAGCAAUUCAACAUGACUAACUGUUUGAUGCCAAAGUUAGUCGGAACUCAACUCACUGUACAUACUCUAACACAGAUAACUGGUGCUGUUGCCUUUCAGCCACAGGCAGGAAUAUUAUUCUUUAGUUCAGAAAAUUGUAGUUUAUCUUGAACUCCAAUGUCCACCAGGUAGCGCGAGUGUCUUCAGGGACGCUUAACGGCCGGCCAUU
rnacentral:lncRNA from 1 species